rnacentral:rRNA from 1 species
AGCAUGACGGAAGCUUGCUUUCGUUGAUGGCGACCGGCGCACGGGUGAGUAACGCGUAUCCAACCUGCCCUUGUCCAUCGGAUAACCCGUCGAAAGGCGGACUAACACGAUAUGCAGUUCUCAGCAGGCAUCUAACGAGAACGAAAUGUGAAGGAGAAGGAUGGGGAUGCGUCUGAUUAGCUUGUUGGCGGGGUAACGGCCCACCAAGGCGACGAUCAGUAGGGGUUCUGAGAGGAAGGUCCCCCACAUUGGAACUGAGACACGGUCCAAACUCC